rnacentral:rRNA from 1 species
UACAUGAGUGGUAAGCGUUAUUCCUUAUGGUUGGGUGUAAAAUAUCCUUAGCAAUUAGUAUGGAUUUUCUAACUAAUAUAAAAUCUGGAAAAUAAUUUUUUAAUUUAGGUAUUUUUAGAGGUAAAAUUCUAUAAAAAAUACUAAAAUUCAGAAAGUGAAGACAUUUUUAAUAUUUUUCAGAGUACGUUAAGGAUGAAAGUAUAGGUACUGGCGGGGAUUAGAGACCCCCUUAAUCUAUACUGUAAAUUAUGAUUACUGAAAGCAAUUAUUGUUAACGCAAGAGUAAUCUACCUGGGGCCUAAAACCGCAAGGUUAAAACUUAAAGAAAUUGGCGGGACUUUUUUAAUGGUGGAACAUGUGAUUUAAUGCGGUAAUCCUCGCAAAAUCUUACUAGAGUAUUUAUAAUAGCUACUUUUUAUGUAAAAAAUUUAGUAAUUAUAUGGUAGGUAUUGCAUGGCUGUCGUCAGUUCGUGCUGUGAAGUGUAGUGUUGGGUCAUCAUAACGAACGCAACUCGAAAUUUAUAUAAAAUUUUAUAUGAAUAAAAUUUACGACUGAAGUCAAGUCUUUAUGGUCUAAUUACUCUAGGCUACACACGUGUUACAAUAAUAAAAACAAAGCAAAAUAAAAGUUCAAACUUAAAUAAAUUGUGAAAAAUUAUUAUUAUCGGAUUAUUAUUUUUAGUCAAUAAUAUGAAGCUGAAAUCAUUAGUAAUCGUAUUUUAGGAUGAUACGGUGAAAUUUUUAUAAAAAGUUUGCACACACUGCCCAUCACGCUCAGAGAAUUAUGUUUAUUUAAAGGAACUUAGCUGUAUUUUUUUUUAAUAUAAAAAAAAAGAACUACACAAGUAGUUUUGUAAAAUUAAAUGUAGUAAUUCGAGUGAAG